rnacentral:rRNA from 1 species
GUUCUUGAAGUUGCGUAUCUCGUCCGUAAUCGUUUUAUAUAUCAACUUUCCAACGUUUUGUCGAAACCGAAUAUCGUUCCGUACCUUUUAAUCAGGCUGCACACACUUAGUGUCCCGCGAAGAGGGAACCGUGCCACCGUACGUACAUGGCUACUACCACACCUUCGGACCAGGGACCACUCACACGCCACGUACAUACAUUAAUCGGUACGCACGGUUUCCUCUUAACGGGACGGUAAGCGGAGUCGACGAGAAGCUUAAGACUAGGUUUGUCCGAUGUUUGAGACCCCUGAAGGCUAGAACACACGUUACCACGCAUGCCUCCGUUAGCAAAGCCAUCCAAUGCGUACACCAUACAGACUUAAGCUACUAACCGGCCAGUCUGAGCGACAGUCUAGAACCCCAACUACCGCUAGACGUACACAACCACUUGACUACUACGAGUUAGUAAUUAGAAGUUACACUGACUGGCGAUCGUAUACGACGAUCGACGUACGUACAUGACUGCCCGUCUGGCGCCUACUGCACGGUACUGGCCGUAAAACAUCGACACUGCCCAUUGAACAAUACUCGAUUCAUCGUACCACGAUGAUAUGUUGUCACAUGCACCUUACCACGUUAGUUAAUUCGGGCGUGGAUGAUCAUAUGGUAGUAUAUAUAGAAACAUACCGACAGGAGAAACAUAUCCGAUCUUUAUACUCACAACUCCCAGUGAGCUGGUACAUUGGUUCUUCCGAAUUCUAAUUAUACGUCUAAUAGAGAAAUUCACGUG